GUCAGGAGUGACAACGUCAUGCUGAAUGGCUCGGAGCCAAAAGGAGCCUAUCCCACGAAAGGGUUUUUUGCAGAUUUUGAAAUCCCAUACUUGCAAAAGGAUAAAAUCACAAGAAUUGAGAUCUGGGUCAUGCAUGAAGUUGGGGGACCCCAUGUGGAAUCCUGCGGCGAAGGCAGUGUUAAGAUCCUGGAAGACAGACUGGAGGCCUUGGGGUUCCAGCACAGCUGUAUCAAUGACUACCCGUAGGUGGCGCUAUGUGUAACGACUUUGAAGGGUUAGAGCGAUUCAAAGGGCCGGUGAAGUUCUUAAUGUGUGUGGACCACAGCACUCACCCCGACUGUGCCAUGAACUCGUAAGUAAAUGGCUUAAAUCAGAACGCAGGUGAACUGCAGUCUGAUUGUCCAUCCUUGCCCUAAAUAACUCAGGCCAGAGCAGGGUACUUCUGCACUGCAGCCUCUCAGUCUCUGAGUUAAAUUGCCGCGGCCACAGACAUCGGCAAGCUGAGCUAACUCCUCCCAGGUGGCCCAACACCAUCUCCCACCUGGCACACUAAAGCAGACAUUGUAGCAGUGGGGCCACAGGGGGACCUUGGACCUUUUCCUUCUUAAUGCUGAUUUACUCUUUUGAAAAGUUAGUAAACAAGCUAGAAACAAAAUUUGCAAUUAUAAAAAGGGUCAGGACAAACACUGUUUU
rnacentral:lncRNA from 1 species